CCUACGGGAGGCAGCAGUGGGGAAUAUUGCACAAUGGGCGAAAGCCUGAUGCAGCAACGCCGCGUGAGCGAUGACGGCCUUCGGGUUGUAAAGCUCUGUCCUCAAGGAAGAUAAUGACUGUACUUGUGGAGGAAUCCCCGACUAACUACGUGCCAGCAGCCGCGGUAAUACGUAGGGGGCUAGCGUUAUCCGGAAUUACUGGGCGUAAAGGGUGCGUAGGUGGUUUCUUAAGUCAGAGGUGAAAGGCUACGGCUCAACCGUAGUAAGCCUUUGAAACUGGGGAACUUGAGUGCAGGAGAGGAGAGUGGAAUUCCUAGUGUAGCGGUGAAAUGCGUAGAUAUUAGGAGGAACACCAGUUGCGAAGGCGGCUCUCUGGACUGUAACUGACACUGAGGCACGAAAGCGUGGGGAGCAAACAGGAUUAGAUACCCCUGUAGUC
rnacentral:rRNA from 1 species